rnacentral:rRNA from 1 species
UACGUAGGGGGCUAGCGUUGUCCGGAUUUAUUGGGCGUAAAGAGCGUGUAGGCGGCCAGGUAGGUCUGGUGUGAAAACUCGAGGCUUAACCUCGAGAUGUCAUCGGAAACCAUCUGGCUAGAGUCCGGAAGAGGAGAGUGGAAUUCCUGGUGUAGCGGUGAAAUGCGCAGAUAUCAGGAAGAACACCAAUGGCGAAAGCAGCUCUCUGGGACGGUACUGACGCUGAGACGCGAAAAGCGUGGGGAGCGAACCGG